UUAUGCCGCCUCCUGCUGAAUGGCAGCAUAUUCAAAAGAAAAACAGCAGCUAUGUGCUCAGUUGUGACUAAAAAUCUUCACUGCUUUUUCUCUCACAAGGUCCUCACACAGGUAGGGGAGGGGUAGCUGUACAGCCAGAGCUCUAGCCCAAUCAGAAAUCAGACAUCGAUCAGGUGGUGUUGUCUUGAUGGGAGGGGCUGCUCUCACUGAGGAGACAACGUGGAUCUAAAAAAUGAAUUUUUCUCUCACUUCCUGCAUAAAGCAGAUUCCGAGUAUCCAAGCAACUGGUCUGUCUCAGCUGCCUUGGCUUCUGUAAGGUGACGCGUUUUAGGCAGACAUGAAUGAAUCAAACUGCCGAAUGGUGCCAGUUUGCUAAAGCUAUUUAUGGAAUCCAGGGGGCAAAUCCCGCUAUUUAAUUUACAGAAUCCAAACUUCAGCAGAAUCGAAGCUUUUAUAUAUGGAAACUCUCCAAUCCAUCCAGCAGAGGAGC